rnacentral:rRNA from 1 species
GACGAACGCUGGCGGCGUGCUUAACACAUGCAAGUCGAACGGAAAGGCCCUGCUUUUGUGGGGUGCUCGAGUGGCGAACGGGUGAGUAACACGUGAGUAACCUGCCCUUGACUUUGGUAUAACUUCAGGAAACUGGGGCUAAUACCGGAUAGGAGCUCCCGCUGCAUGGUGGGGGUGGGAAAGUUUCGGCGGUUGGGGAUGGACUCGCGGCUUAUCAGCUUGUUGGUGGGGUAGUGUAUUACCAUGGCUUUGACGGGUGGCCGGCCUGAGAGGGUGACCGGCCACACUGGGACUGAAAUGCGGCCCAGACUCCUACGGGAGGCAGCAGUGGGGAAUAUUGCACAAUGGGCGGAAGCCUGAUGCAGCAACGCCGCGUGCGGGAUGACGGCCAUCGGGUUGUAAAGCGCUUUCGCCUGUGACGAAGCGUGAGUGACGGUAAUGGGUAAAGAAGCUCCGGCUAACUACGUG